ensembl:lncRNA
CCAAGGAUUAGACACAGCGGGCUUUACAAUUUAAUGAAAACAGCUGUUGAAACAACAAUUAAGGCAAACAAUAGUUUGCCUGGAAAACUAUUAAUUAUGUAAAGUUAUGCAGAAAGUGGAAUACGCUUUUAUUCAGGGCCUUCUACAGCCACCGAGCUGCCUUCCAUUCCAGGGCUCUCAAGUGUCAGGAAGUGGGGGUGCUGGUAGGAAGCGGCUACACUGCCUGUGGAGUGAAAUCUCUUGAAGUAUGCAAGAAGCACACUAUUGAACAAGGAUUGUACGUCCUGCGUGAUGCAGACAGCUGAGAUGUUAGGCUGAAACGGGCUGUCCAGAAAUAUAUCUCUUUCUGUAAAUUGUAGCUGCAGAACGGAGCAAUAUCUUACUCCUCUCAAAAAGAAAAAAAGCAUCGUAUCACAAGCACAGAUAGUAAAGUUCUGCGAUUUCUCGCUACAUCAGCAGAGUAACGAAGUACCCUCUAACUGAACAUCUGGGGGCAGCAGGAAUUUUAUGACUCAGGUUCAGGCCAGCUUACUAUUACUACGAUAAACUAUGUCAUAACAGAAAAAUCCCUGUGAAGUUCUCCAAAGAAUGCUAUGCUACUUCCAGACCCUGCAACUAUAAUUAUGCCUUGCAUAAUUAAGCCAGAAAGAACAUCCCCUGCCAACUCUAAGCACCCCUGUUUACAUCAAAAAGCAAUAGCAAAAUGUACUCUAGAAGGUUCUGGCCAAAGUAAUUGAGUGGGCUGCCUGAGCCUAGCGCUGCUUUCUAAAUAUUGUCCCUGGGUUAGGAACUGGAGGGACAAGGAGGGAGGGAAGCACGUAGGAGAAUGCGCCAGAGGCCUAUUGACUUUUCCUGCCUGGGAAUGAUGUCAUGGAGUUCAGUGACAUUGGGGGCUGGUGUCAACUGAAGUCUCAUGGCACAUUCGCCCAGGUGCUUCUACUGGGGAGCUUCAGACCUGUCGCUCCAUUACGUGUUGGCCUUCAUAUGCUCUGAAUCCCUGAACUCACAUGAAAAGGUUCAGAGCGUUAGGCCAGGGUGUAGACACAUUCUUGACAUCGAGGAGUACAAAGAGGAUUCUUCUGCUUGCAGUUCAAUCAGUCUUUCUUUGGAGCUUUCUUUGUAGGUUGCUGCAGCUGGAACAUGAAAAGAGAGACACAGACAAACAGAGAAAGACAGAGAGACCGAGAAAAAGAAAAAAAUAGCAAGGCACCGAGGAAAAAGGGGAAAAAAAAACAAACCAAAACCAAACCAAAGCCACAAACUGAAAAAAAAAUCCCUAUAAAAUAGAAGUGUAUUAUGUUUUUGUGUAUUUUCGAAAUGUAGCCAAACUAAACCAUUAAAUGAGGAUUUUGUUUCACAGAGUCUGCAAACUAUUCAACGCUAACCCACUACACCAAGAAUGUGGUGCCAACCAAAAUAUGUCAAGAUUAGUAG